AUUCUUUUGCAGUGGUGAUAUCAUAGCCUAUGAAGUCCAUCUGAGGCGUGAUUAUUGCUUGUUGAAAACUUAACCCAAUACCCC
rnacentral:snRNA from 8 species